CAUUUUGAAUCUUCUUGGAUCAGUUGGUCCCAUUAUAAUUCCACAUUUAAGUGCACUCGGGCUAGAGUAGUUAUGGGAUGGGUGACCACCUGGGAAGUCCUAGUGUUUUACAUGC
rfam:Picea glauca, whole genome shotgun sequence.